CUCAUUUACAAUGGAUGUUUCAUUAAGAGUAGACUAUGACUUAUUCCUACUUUAAUUUUAUUUGUGUGAGAUAAAUUUACGUACUUUUGCUGCAUUAUCAUGAUGAAUUUUCUGUAUAUGCUUAUAAGGUUUUUCCUUUUCCUUUUCUUUUCUUUUGAGACAUCUAACUAUCCACUUUCAGCCUGAUAAGCCAAAGACCGUACUAUCAUUUAUUUUUCAAAACUUAAAACUUGACAGUAAUGUUCUUUUCCUCCAAAUUGUGUGGCUUUGAUGUUCAUUAUCUUAAGGUUCAUAAUACAUUUCCUCCCUAUCAUCAAAGCCCUAAAACUUGUUUUGGCUCAGACAUCUCCAGAGACUGAGUUCAUUCCUUCAGUUCGUCUGUCAGGUUCUUCCUUCAGAACAAUUUGUCUGGAUAUCCCAAGGCCCCAUUCCUCAGAUACAUGUCUCCAUUCUCCCCUCUCUUCUCCUCUCCUCCCCAUGCCACUGUCUCCACCUUAUGCAGGCAGUUGCUUCUAGAACACUCAGUUCAAGGAUUAUUUGUGAAAAUUCUCAUGGAAUAGCCAAUCACCUAUUUCUCUGAAUUAGGAAUUUCGAAGCCAGCCUUUAAUCUGUGUUUCUCAACGGACACCCUUGCUGAACUUAAAAUGCCCCUGAUGGGGAGGGGGAGAAUGGUUUUAUUUUUAAUCCUGGGUAAAAUAGGGCAUCUUUGUUCAUAAUACCUGGCAAUCACGAGACUUAGAAACUUCCCCAAAAAACUUCUAACCAAAGACAGUUCCUUGACCAGUUUAACAAAACGUUAAUAUGCUUAAGUUCCGCCCUACACUCAUGCCCUCACUGAGCAGGCUUUGGGAAAGAGCAGUCAUAACAUGGAGGGUGGACACCUCUCAGGUGCCUAUCAGAAGGUGCCAUGGAGUAUGGAUUUGGCCAUCCAAAUCACCAAAAGAAUAUGGCUUCUGUUACCCCCAGCUACAGGGUUUCCGUUCAGGCACCAGAAAAUCUGUUAUCGCGUGCCACCCCAUAAUUGUCUGUCCCCUCCCAGUUAUUAAGGAAAGGAACCCUUGGUCUCUAAAUCGAGUUUGUCAAAUACUGAACUACAAAUGGGCAUGAGAUUGAUUAGCGUUCUUCCUACUGACACAAACUCUCGAACCUCCCUCCAUGCAGUGCUAGCAACCUAUUUUUUUCUUAAAAAGGGACAAAGGGCUCUAAGAUGGUAGCAAGGUUUGGCACUUGGAACAAAUAAUGGCUCACCCAGCACUGUUGCUGCCAUUCUGUCCUGUCACUUGUCCAAGCCCUGCCCUUGUCUAGCUUUCCUUUGACCUUGAUACAAGCCAGGAACGUAAACACGGAGACUCUUAUAAUGGCUCCUUUGUGUUCAUAUCUUUGCUUUCUUCCCAAAGAUCCUUAAAGGCACAACACACAAAGCCAGGAGCCCAGGUACUCGGCUCUCAACCCGCUUGCUGACUGCUGGACCGUGGUAACAGGAUAACUGGAUUCUUAACGUUCAGAUUUACUGAUAGCAGAAUUCGCUUCCUACCUAUGGCGCUGCAAGUGUUAAGCGAUUAGUCUGACGCCGGAGAGGGAGUGAACUGGUCAGAAUUCAGGCUGUUUCACAAUAGGCUUGGUCUAUGGAGUUAUCUCCAGACAUGUUCUCUGUUAGGGCUAGAUAAACCGCUGUUGAUACUCGCUAUUAAUUGAUAACCAGCUGGGACUUUCCACUAGAGAGAAAUAGAAACACAGUAAGCAAUUCCUCUGAGCUGUUUUAUCUUUUGACUCAAGUCAAUCCUGGGGUUAUCUUUUUGAGAAAGUCGAAACACCUUCAAGGAUUCAGUAUUCGUUUGUGGAAUGUGCAGACAUUUGUAAAGUAUCUCUGUACUAAAGGACCGAGGGAGGAGGAACUCAUGAAUAAAGGAGGACCCGGAACUGGGAUGUAAAGAAUGACUCAGACCCACACAGUGAACUGGGAAACAAGACGGGCAUCGUAGCCAGGAAGUGCUUCUGUACACAGUAUGUUUCAGACUCAGAAGGGGUUAAAAAUAUGUGGAUAAUUAGGAUCAAGGAAAAAAAGAGAGAUCUGUAAAGCUGAUAUCCUCAAAUAAAAUCCUCUACUUCUGUAAAAAGCUCACGGCUGUCAGCAUUUGGCUGGAAACACCCAGGCCCAGGAUUUUCCUGACUGAAAAAUCUACUCUCACCUGUGUGAGUGCUUGUCUGAUCCAGACAAAGAGUGCGUGACACCGGUGUCUCUUUUCUGGAGGGUCUAUAUUUAGAACACAUCAUCUAAUCUGAAAUUUAUAAAUUCUAAAGAGAGCCCUUACUGAAAUAUGGACAAGUCUUUGUUAGUGAGGGAAUGGCAUCAGAUGACAAGCUUCUUUCUUUCUUCUUCUUCUUCUUCUUUUUUUUUAAUACUAUUUGAACACCCAGAAGCAUAAAGCCUACUGCCCUUUUGCCAUGGAGCUUGCAGCUUGGCAUGUAAAUGCUAAAUUUAAACCCACUCAAGUCUCUUGCAUGAAGUUGCACAGCUAAACAGUGAGCCUCCUUUUCCUUCCUCCAUUCAGAAGCUGGGGAAGAAAUGGCAACGGAAUGAAAAGGCUAGAUAAACACGUUCGGCGAUGAUCCUAGGAAAGAGGAUUUUGUUUGCAUCAAAUGUUGAUAAAAAAGAUCAUAGACAGCCCUUUUGAUGUUGCUCUCUCCACGAUUAGGACUAGAUUCAAGUGCAUGACUCAUGGAAAUGACCCAGGCAGGAAGAAUGAGUCACCUCGCCUUUUUGGACCUUCUGGCCACAGUUUCUCCUGGGAUCAACAUCACCAUGGGAUGUCUUCCUUUGUAUGACCACACUGCUCUCUGCUUGUCAAGACAGCCACCUGCCGAUUGCGAUGACUCUCUAGUCCUAGAAAAGCUCCUCUCCCUGGAUAGUUGAAUGUCCUUGGAAGGGACCUUCCUUCUCAUCUACCCGGUGUUAACUCAGAAGUAAGCAGACAGUCCUCAUCCUGGAAAGAAUAUCUAACAACAAGAAGAAUGGUGAACACUUCUUGGUUGCUAUCUUCAUUUUGUUUCUCUUCCCAGCAGAUACUCAGCACGACGCUAUAAGGAAGUACAAGGCAAGUGUGGGUUUUCCACCAUCGUUUUAUUGCUGAAACAGCUAAGGUCAUGGCGAAGUUAAACAUUUACAGAAAGUUGCAGAACUGGCAAAGGUGACUGACUGCAGAGCCACUUCACCUCAACUGCUGCACCAUCCUGACAAGGCCAGGUCAGGUGGAACAUGGCAGCUAUCCUGGGCUUUACAAGCACACAGCUAGGUCAGCCUCUUCAAACAGUCCCUGAAAGAAGUCCUUAGGAUAUCUGCAGACUGAACAAUGAAAAAGGGUUGUUUUUAAGGCAUUGGGUGUCAAUCCUUAGCAUAGGUAGAAGGGGGCCAUUUAUGUGGGUGGAGCAUCCUUGGAUGGAAAUAUGUGAACAGAACAAGAAAGGAAGGGGUUUGGAGUUUACCACACAUUACCCCUAGCAGGGGAGGAGAAACAGUGAGAUUGGCAUGCUUGUAGCAGAGGAGGUGGAAGUAGAAGAAUUCGUGUGGGAGAGAGAUGUUCAGUCCAGGGACAGCGUGACCCACAUCCCACCUAAAACCACUGGAGAUCUAAUCUACACAGACCUCAGGGGGACGGGGCAAGGCAAUGUGUUCCCCUUUUCACCCACGCUCAGCCCUUCAUGGGAACUGAACUGCAUCCUGGGAGCUAAGGAAAAGAGCCGCCCCCGACUCUCCGUGUGCACACUCAUCAAAGACUUGCAUCAUCCAGGCAGGUUCUUCUGCAGAGGAUAGUAAGAACAGGAGAAGACUCAAGGUUUAGAAGAGAUACCAACUGCGUGGCAGGUCCAAGUGGUCCAGGUUAACUCUAAACAUCAAAUGGAGUUGCUUUAGGGCUAUUCAUUUUCAACAUUACAAACUAUUCCAGAUCUUUUGCAUUUCCAUACUAAUUUAGACUCUACUCAGUUUCUACACACACACAUACAUGGCAUACUAGCAACCAACUGGAUUUUGACUGAGAUUGUGUUUAAAGAUUUUUGAUGUUUUAAGGGUGGAGAGCCAUAGGCAAUAGGUGAAUGGAUGGUGUGGGUGUGUUUGAUAAACGCUUAUUCACAAAGGCAGGUGGUGGGCUGGACUUGUCUCAGUCACAGCUUUUUUACUUCUGUUACAGGUCAUCUUGCACCUACCCUCUUCACACAGCGACCCUUCCAAUACACAAACAGGAUCCCUGUAUUGAUUUAACUCUUCCUCUUUUUUUGACUCAGUAAUAGUUUGAUAUUUUUAGUGUGCAAACAUUCUACUUGCUAUUAAGUUUGUAUAGCUUUUAUGUUAUUAUAAAUGUACUCAAAGAGAUUAGUGAAGUUUCAGUGAAAUCUAUUUUAAGAAGUAUGGGGAUUUAUAAUUUAUUCCUUAUUAUCAAGAAUAUAACAUUUUGGCUACUAAGGAAGGCUAAAAAUAGAGGUAGAAUAACAUUUAAAACUCAAUCUGGGCCAUUUCAGGAUAAAAUUAAUUUGCUCUUUACCCCAUCAGUUUAGUGCUUCCAUAUGAGACUUGUGGAAGAGCAAGUCUAAGGGCAGAAAUUGCAGAAUGUGAAUCAUGAUUGCUCAGCUCUCCACACUCCACAGGGAGGCUGAAAAUGACUGCAUAAUUUGUUUUGGAUGGCUUACUUGAGAUAGUCAAGAACAUUGCCAUCUAAUAUAUUCUGUUUAUGGCAUCCUUAAGAGAGGUUUGUAGGUCAUAGACACGCUUCUAAGUGGUCAUCAAAUUAGCUCAGGGAUUAAAAUGUGACCACCAAAUUUUCCUGAGUGAAAGGCAAUAAAAAGUAGUAGCACAUGCCUGUAAUUUCAGCAGCCAAGAGGAAGAGGCAGGAGGAUCACAAUUUCCAAGCCAGCCUGAGCUUUGUAGCCUGAACAAAACCAAACACCUUCAACGGUUAAGAGCCCUUGGUCUUGAUUCUGGACGAUAAUGCAGUGGUGAAGAACUUGGAGUCGUUCUGCCACUCGUAGCUUGAGAGAGCUUGGGCGAGCUUGGGCGAGCUUGGGCAUGUCAUUUUAGCUUCCUAAGAUCACGAUGAAUGAGACCUCUGUAAAACUCUUCAGAAGCCAUCAGGACCUCCAUAGAUAAUCAACAAAAGACAUUAAAACCCUGUUCCCUAUUAUACUCACUACUAGGAAAGCGAAGUGGGCAGUGACGACUAAGAUGUUUGCUGUAAAACUUACUCCCCUGGCAAGCAUCGUCUGAUGCCUACCAAAGACCUUAACACAAACGUAAGGAAGAAAAUACAAAAUAUGAGACAUGUCUUCACUUGGAGAAGGAUGGGCUGGUUAGAGGGUGGCGGGUGCUGGCAGGGUGGAAGCAGGCAAAACCUCCUCAGUGGGUCGCAGCCUGAGGGAGAAACGAGCAGAAAGCCAGUCUCAGAGGUAACUCUAUCCCAUCACCAUAGGGAGGGGCAGAAACCUUUUUAAAAGCCUUGCUUUUGACCUUCGGACCCCAAAUACACUAUUCUCUGCUUCACGUCAAGGCCUCAAAAGAAGACUCCAAGAGUUUUUCUAAAAUGCAUGCCACAGUGGGGCUUGCAAGAGCUAAGGUUGUCCUGGUUGGAAGUAGCUCACCUUUAUGUGGGACCAACAACAGGCUAGGAAUACCCAGCAUCCGACACACAGAGGCUAGAGGUUAAAUCUGAAAGACCAAGCAUUUCCAAUAGUUGUGACUCCACAGGAAACAGUGACUAGGAUCAUGCUUUUUUAUGUGGAUAAAUUUACCCCCUUUCGAGAAGGAAAACGGCCUGCUCUGUAAUAUAAAUAAACAAUCUUAUGUACAGCUACUUUAAAG